GUAUUCACUUUGGCAGCACACAUACUAGCACUGGACUGACACAAAGAUGACUAGCAUGGCCCCUGUACAAGGAUGACACACAAAUUCGUGAAGUACUCCAUAUUUUA
ensembl:snRNA U6 U6 spliceosomal RNA